UACGUAGGGAGCAAGCGUUGUCCGGAAUUACUGGGCGUAAAGGGCGCGUAGGCGGGUAUUUAAGUCAGAUGUGAAAGCUCCGGGCUCAACCUGGAGAGUGCAUUUGAGACUGGGUAUCUUGAGGGCAGGAGAGGAAAGUGGAAUUCCUAGUGUAGCGGUGGAAUGCGUAGAUAUUAGGAGGAACACCAGUGGCGAAGGCGACUUUCUGGACUGUACCUGACGCUGAGGCGCGAAAGCAUGGGGAGCGAACAGGAUUAGAUACCCUGGUAGUCCAUGCCGUAAACGAUGAAUACUAGGUGUAGGAGGUAUCGACCCCUUCUGUGCCGCAGUUAACACAAUAAGUAUUCCGCCUGGGGAGUACGGCCGCAAGGUUGAA
rnacentral:rRNA from 1 species